UAUCAUUUUACAACUUGAUUAAGCAGGUAUCUGGUGACUUGUUUUCCAAAUGUAGACAUGUAACCAGAUACCUGCUUAAUCAAGUUGUAAAAUGAU